rnacentral:rRNA from 1 species
UUGAGAGAAGCACAGAUUGACGGGAUGGCUUGUGAAUGUGUGAAUGUGUCCCUUUCCUCGCCCCAUGUUGGUGGGCAAUCGACCGUAGCUCAGUGCGAUCGGCACUAAGGAACAAUGAACUCGAAAGCAAAGGGCCCCUUGGCGUGCGCGCAAGGAGCCCAAUGCGUCGGAGAUUCCUCGGAAUCAAAUGACUCUCGGCAAUGGAUAUCUCGGCUCUUGCAUCGAUGAAGAACGUAGUGAAAUGCGAUACUUGGUGUGAAUUGCAGAAUCUCGUGAACCAUUGAGUCUUUGAACGCAAGUUGUGCCCGAGGCCUCGUGUCGAGGGCACGCCUGCUUGGGGGUCAUGGCAUCGUCGCCUUUGCUCCAUGCGUUGCUGGUGCCGAGUGCGGAAAUUGGCCCCGUGUGCCCUCGGGCACAGUCGGUUAAAGAGCGGGAAGUCGGCAAUCGUCGGGGCACGACGGGUGUUGGUCGCCGUGAGCGGGAACAGAACGUCGUCCUCAUCGUUUUGAGCCGAGUUCUCAAGAGACCCUGUGUGAUUGCGGUGUCGGACGAAAGGGCCGUGUCCAUCAACCU